CUAUGCGGUCUUGCCAGUUUGCAAAGCAUUUCAUUUUCCUAGUCGCAAAUUCCGUGCCGUUGAGAAUGUUAGUGCUUCUCGCUCUCUUGGACCACCUUAAAAAUUCAGGGCCUCCCUCGACGAUUUGGAGUAGCACGUAGUUCAAUAAAGAAACUCAGAGUUUUACGAACUGACUGUCCAUUUUGCGACCGAUUGCAUUUAUGAAGAACAAACAAGCACAGUAAAGAGUGCCAUGCUUCCAAACUUGAGAGUGCCAAAACAUUUCACCUUCGCCCCGACAUCUCGUCCCUCAUCAGCAAAUGUAAGUACAAUUUUCCAUUGUCGAAAAUCGGGAGCAUCCCAUUAUUACGUUUAUAUGUAAACGAGGUUUUAAGAACGAAAAAUAUGGUCGAAGAAAUCGGUUUUUGCGACAGCUGCCACAAUAGUCCAUCUCACCUGCUCGUUUUAACAGUAAUUCAUUGUCCUAUUUUUAGAACGUACAUUUUUUUGUCUUCUUUUCGUAUUUACCGCGCGCGCUCCAUUUUAAAGGUUUUUUUUAACACCGUAGGUAAUUGAAGGGAAUUAUGCGAGCCUAACGACACGUAGUUAAACAUAUUAUACGGCGAGAUAAUUGAUGUACAUAAUGGGAAGGUAAUUUAAAAUCUUUGGCGCCCCCGAUGUUCAUUUUGUGUGAUAAUUUUAUUACGUGAGCGUUGGAAGUCUGUCUAGCAUGAUUGAACCGUGACUAAAAAUCGAAGGUAACAAAUUUCCUUCUUUGCACACGUAAUUUUCCAAAAUUGGAAGAUUUCUUUUAAUUUGUUUUAUAGAUCCAUCUUCGUGUUGUUCUACAGCUUAAUUAAGCAUUUUCAACAACAAAAUAUGUGGUAGAAGCGGUCAAUUUCGUAAGUUCACGUCAUUUCGUCGAAAUCUCAGGUUAUGAUCAGAAGUGACAGUUAAUUUUUUUAAGCGGUUAAGUGUUAAACUUCUUCGUCUCUUUAAAUUGAAAUAUGUUUGGUUUAUUAACAUUUAAUCUAAUAACAAUAGUAUGCAAUACCAUUUUAGGUUUACUUCGACUUAUACAUCACAUCCGUGUUAAAUUUGGAUACACUAUAAUAAAACCACUUUUGAAAGAGCAUACAGUCUAAACUUGAUUGUCGUAUAAAGUGUUGCAUUUUGCAUCUGGCAAGGAUUGCGUUUUCCGUAUGGACCAGAACCACCGCCUUUAUCACUCGAAAGAGAAAGGGAUACCUUUUGCAUCUUCCAUAGACCGCAUCUUUGUUAUCGACCGCCGGUGAACUACAAAGGUCUGUUUAUAUCAAUCGGUGAUCAAGUGCAAUCAAGUUGUAGAAAAUCUUAGAAGUAUGUACACUUUGUUAGCUCGAAGAUUGUUGCUCAUAUGUAAAUAAUGUACACAUCAAUUAUGUAAAACAUGUAAAGAACUAUCUUACUGCUAUUAUGGUGUAAUUAGAAACGCAUCCAAACAUGGAAAAAUAACAUAACCCCUUAAGAAAUUGAAGUUGGACACAAACUUAAAAAGGUAGUCAUGAAGUACAAGUAACAUAGCCUCACAUUUCGACGAAAUUAUGUGAACUUUGUAUUAAGAUUAUGGAAAAUUUAGGGCUUCUCCCGCAAUUUUUUGUUGAAAACGCUUUAUUAAGGUACCCUCUAGCCAUAUUUGUUUUAAACUCUUCUAUCAUCCAAUUUUUUACAUGCGUAUUUGCUUCAUCCUGUAGAGUUGUCCAAGUUUUCAGUGGUCCUAGAUUUUCAUUCGUGUGUUUUGUCUGACGAUAAAAUUCUCAUGGAUCACCUAUCGAAUUCAGUAUUACGGUGUGUGAUUGAUUAU